GAUGAACGCUGGCGGCGUGCCUAAUACAUGCAAGUCGAGCGAACAGACGAGGAGCUUGCUCCUCUGACGUUAGCGGCGGACGGGUGAGUAACACGUGGAUAACCUACCUAUAAGACUGGGAUAACUUCGGGAAACCGGAGCUAAUACCGGACAAUAUAUUGAACCGCAUGGUUCAAUAGUGAAAGACGGUUUUGCUGUCACUUAUAGAUGGAUCCGCGCCGCAUUAGCUAGUUGGUAAGGUAACGGCUUACCAAGGCAACGAUGCGUAGCCGACCUGAGAGGGUGAUCAGCCACACUGGAACUGAGACACGGUCCAGACUCCUACGGGAGGCAGCAGUAGGGAAUAUUCCGCAAUGGGCGAAAGCCUGACGGAGCAACGCCGCGUGAGUGAUGAAGGUCUUCGGAUCGUAAAACUCUGUUAGUAGGGAGGAAGAAAUGUGUAAGUAACUAUGCACGUCUUGACGGUACCUAAUCAGAAAGCCACGGCUAACUACGUG
rnacentral:rRNA from 1 species